CUACAACGAAUAGAAGUGGCCUUUACGCGGCGUUGUAGAUAAGUAGCUCCAUUAAACGGGAGCUGAAAAGCUUCCUUUAAUCGAACGAAACUAACAACUUC
rnacentral:ribozyme from 1 species